rnacentral:lncRNA from 1 species
CCUGCCUUCCUUUCUCCAGAGGGGAAUUCCUUCGCCCCGGCCUCCCUUCCUUGGAAAGCCUUGCCCCGCCUCUCGCCGCGGAGGAGGAGGACAGGGGAGGAGGAGGAGGAGGAGGGAGGCGCGGCCCCGGCCUGGGUGCGGUCCUGUCGGGUCCCCGAUCCCGGAUCUCUUCAAUUUCCCCUCGCCGUGGCUCACUCGCGCGCCGGGAGCGGAGGCGCAGGGAGGCCAAGGGCGAGACAGAGAGAGACACAGAGAGAGGGAGAUUGAAAGAGGUAGAGAGAGGAGGAAAGAGGGAAGGAGAGUGGGAGCAGAAGUAGCAGGAGAGAGAGAGAGAGAGAGAAGGAAAGAAGGAGAGGAAGAACAAGUAGCACGGGAGAAAGAGAAGGAGGAAGAAGGAGAAGGAGGAGCACUAGAGAGACCGGGAAAGAGAGAAGGAGCGAGAAGGACAGUGGGAGAGGGAAAGAAGGAGUAGCAGUAGAGAGACAAGGAAAGAAGAAGAGAGGGAAAUAGAAGGAGGAAGGAGAGAGGAAAGAAGGAUUAGCAGCAGAGAGAGAGAGGUUUAAAGAGGUAGAGAGAAAGGAGGGAAGGGAGAAGGAGAGUGGGAGAGAGGGAGAAGGAGGAACAGUAGAGAGAGAAAAGGGAAGGAAAGAAGGAGAGAGGGAAAUAGAGGGAAGAAGCAGGGGAGAGAGAAACAGAAGGAUAAGAGAGACGGGAAAGACAAGGAAAGAGAGAGGGGAGAAGGAGCAGCAGUAGAGAGAAGGAAAGAAGUUGAGAAGGAAAUAGAAGGAAAGAGGGAGUGAGAACAAGUAGGACGGGAGAAGGAAAGAGGGAAGGAGAAGGAGGAGCAGUAGAAAGAGAAAGAACGAGAGAGAGGGAGCAGAGUGAGGCAAAGCGCGGUGCUUGAGAGUAGCAGGGGAGACGGAGAGCGAGCAAAGGGAAGCCAGCAAGGGAGCAGCAGCCCCUCCUGAGCGCCGGAGCGCGUCGGCCAAAACAAACGGGGGCCUGGCUACUUAUUGGCGGCGCCCGGCGCGGUCCGGCUCAGAGCGCACCUGCUGGAUGGACGGGCGCUGAGCCCUGCCGCUCUGCCGCCCUCCCGCCCGCCCGCCCGCUCGCUCACCCGCUCCCU